GAGAGUAAAACAGUACGUGAAAUUGUUGAAAGGGAAACGCUUGAAGUCAGUCGUGCCGGCGUUGGAUUCAGCUUGCUUCGCGGAGCAGGCGUAUUUCCGCGCAUGGCAGGUCAGCGUCAGUUUUGCGCGGCGUGAAAAGGCUCGGGUAAGGUAGCUCUCUUCGGGGAGUGUUAUAGACCUGGGCAGAUGCGCUGCGCGGGACUGAGGAUUGCAGCGGACACCUCUUCGGGGGCGCGGCGACCGAACCCUGCUCGGCCACCCUCGUUCGAUAGCGUGCUAGCGGACGCGGGAGCGGCAGUGCACCGGAACAGGCAAGCCAGCGGUUCGCUAAGGAUGCUGACGUAAUGGCUUUAAACGA
rnacentral:rRNA from 1 species